ACUUUCUUAGUAUAUAAUUCAGUACAGUUGACUUCCAAUCAACUAGCCCCAGAAUAACCCUGGGAGAGAGUA
rnacentral:tRNA from 1 species